CAGCAGCCGCGGUAAUACGGAGGAUCCGAGCGUUAUCCGGAAUUAUUGGGUUUAAAGAGUGCGUAGGCGGAUAGAUAAGUCAGUGGUGAAAGACGGUGGCUCAACCAUCGCAGUGCCGUUGAUACUGUUUAUCUUGAAUAUGGAUGAGGUAGGCGGAAUGUGGCAAGUAGCGGUGAAAUGCAUAGGUAUGCCACAGAACACCGAUUGCGAAGGCAGCUUACCAAGGCAAAAUUGACGCUGAGGCACGAAAGCGUGGGGAUCGAACAGGAUUAGAUACCCGCGUAGUCCCUGUCUCUUAUAC
rnacentral:rRNA from 1 species